UACGGGGGGAGCAAGCGUUGUUCGGAUUUACUGGGCGUAAAGGGCGGGUAGGCGGCCACCGCAAGUCAGUUGUGAAAUCUCCGGGCUUAACCCGGAAAGGUCAACUGAUACUGCGGGGCUAGAGUGCAGAAGGGGCAACUGGAAUUCUCGGUGUAGCGGUGAAAUGCGUAGAUAUCGAGAGGAACACCUGCGGCGAAGGCGGGUUGCUGGGCUGACACUGACGCUGAGGCACGAAGGCCAGGGGAGCAAACGGG
rnacentral:rRNA from 1 species